AGCUGAAGAGACUGGAUUCCGUCCUAUGGUGGGAUUUCUUUCCGUGCUCGUGCGUUCAGCCCCAAGUCUCAGGGCCACUCGUCUGGGAAGUUGUAGAAUCUGUAUAGCCAACCUACACAACCUCCAAGGGGCCUGCUGCCAUCAGACUGGAACUAAACCAUCAGCUCUCAUGGGACUCCAUCUUGCUGACUUAUCCUGCAGAUCUUGGGAUUUAACCGCCUCCAUAAUCACGAAUCCUCCCUCCAGGUCACUGGGAGCUUCAAUUCCUUAGAAGAAAGAAAGAGAUGACUCCUGCUUCAUAGUCCAGGAAAAUCCCCACACACCGUGGAGGCUCUUUAAGGCGGAAGGAGGUCUGCGGGGAUGUGAGAGCUUCAUACUCAUUCCCACGACUCUGUCGCAGAAGCCAGUGUCCAUUGGCAGAAGCAACUAUCACUAUACUAUGAAGUAGCACAAGCCCUUCACCAGAUACAGUCGCCCAAUCUUGGACCAUCCAGCCCCAAGAACCCUGAGCUAAAUAAACCUCUUUCCUUGAUAAA
rnacentral:antisense_RNA from 1 species